GACGAACGCUGGCGGCGUGCCUAAUACAUGCAAGUAGAACGCUGAAGAGAGGAACUUACUCUUCUUGGAUGAGUUGCGAACGGGUGAGUAACGCGUAGGUAACCUGCCUUGUAGCGGGGGAUAACUAUUGGAAACGAUAGCUAAUACCGCAUAACAAUGGAUGACACAUGUCAUUUAUUUGAAAGGGGCAAUUGCUCCACUACAAGAUGGACCUGCGUUGUAUUAGCUAGUAGGUGAGGUAAUGGCUCACCUAGGCGACGAUACAUAGCCGACCUGAGAGGGUGAUCGGCCACACUGGGACUGAGACACGGCCCAGACUCCUACGGGAGGCAGCAGUAGGGAAUCUUCGGCAAUGGGGGCAACCCUGACCGAGCAACGCCGCGUGAGUGAAGAAGGGUUUCGGAUCGUAAAGCUCUGUUGUAAGUCAAGAACGGGUGUGAGAGUGGAAAGUUCACACUGUGACGGUAGCUUACCAGAAAGGGACGGCUAACUACGUG
rnacentral:rRNA from 1 species